rnacentral:lncRNA from 1 species
GCCUGCGCUGUACCAGACCCUGCACCGUCUCUUUAACUUAGGGAAUGCUGAGGAGCCUGAACAGCAGAGGGACAGCAUCACGGGGAGAUCACAGACAACACCAUGUUGCUGAAAAACAACAUGCUUCUAGAAAAAUAAGCUGUUUCCUCCUCCACCCUGCAAACAGCAGCUACUGCUGGCCUCUCUAUCAGCCUGACUGCUCAGCCAGGGAAACCAGCAACACUGUGAAAGUGGGAUACCCUGGCUAGCUAAGAAAGGACACACAAUUUCCCGACCAGUACCUUAGCAAUUUUAGCCCACUCAUCUAGCAAUCCAACAAAGUGCUGGCCUAUUCCUCAUCAAAUAUGUAUUUGUUGAUUUUCUGUUUGUUUUCAAUAAGCAUAUGUAAAUUAAAAAAUCAGCUUCCUGAGAAGUUGUUGAUAGUACCCAUUCAUGUUUUCUC